rnacentral:misc_RNA from 1 species
GUUUGUAACACCCAAAGCCGGUGGGGUAACCUUUUAGGAGCUAGCCGUCUAAGGUGGGACAGAUGAUUAGGGUGAAGUCGUAACAAGGUAGCCGUAGGAGAACCUGCGGCUGGAUCACCUCCUUUCUAAGGAAUAAUACGGAACCGCACACGAGUCAAAGUUUUGUUUAGUUUUGAGAGGUCUACUCUCACUUUUGUUCUUUGAAAACUGAAUAAUAUCUAUAAUUUUCUAAUUUUAAUUAAUCAUAAUUAAACCGAGAGAAAACCGCGUAAUUUAAAGAGUUAAACAAGAUUAGUUCAAAAUAAUCGCAAUACUCAAUUAAUCGCUUUACCGUAGGUAAAGUUAGGUUAAGUUAGGAAGGGCGCAUGGUGGAUGCCUUGGUACUAGGAGCCGAUGAAGGACGGGACUAACACCGAUAUGCCUCGGGGAGCUGUAAGUAAGCUUUGAUCCGGGGAUUUCCGAAUGGGGCAACCCAAUAGUUUUAAUCGACUAUUAUCCGCAUCUGAAUUCAUAGGAUGUGUGAAGGUAA